CAGUAGCCGCGGGAAUACGAGGGGGGCAAGCGUUAUUCGGAAUUAUUGGGCGUAAAGGGUGCGUAGGCGGAUUGUUAAGUCAGGGGUGAAAUCCCGAGGCUCAACCUCGGAACUGCCUUUGAUACUGGCGAUCUUGAGUCCGGGAGAGGUGAGUGGAACUGCGAGUGUAGAGGUGAAAUUCGUAGAUAUUCGCAAGAACACCGGUGGCGAAGGCGGCUCACUGGCCCGGAACUGACGCUGAGGCACGAAAGCGUGGGGAGCAAACAGGAUUAGAUACCCGAGUAGUCCCUGUCUCUUAUAC
rnacentral:rRNA from 1 species